UCUCAGCAACCCUUCAGCUCUGGAGCCUGACAUCACUUCUCUAGUCACCUUUUUAUAAACAUACAUUCAACCAUUUAGUCUCUGUGGAUAAAAAACAUGACCUGAUGUGAGACAGUGGAAGGUCUGGAGGCAGAGAUAUAGCAUGAACAGAGAAACAGCAGGAUUGAGCCGGAUUGUUAGAGGAGAAAUAACAGGAGAAGCCAAGCCUGCAGAGUGGAGGAGUGGAUGUGCUGGGUGAAACAUGGUGGAAGAUGAUUGACGUAAAGCGACAGGCAGCAAGAACGUCACACCCUUCACCUGCGAAAGCCUGACGGAUUAGACAGGAAUACAGUGCAUGAUGGACCAUCAGAGUCCUGAUGCUUGAACAUGAGAAGAAAACCAGUGCCGGUGAAACAUUCACCCAGUUUCACUCCACAUCUCCACUUUAUCUGAAUACUCCAUUCUGAUUUGCUGAAAUGUUGGAGUUCCUUGUGAGUGCCUUGUAAACAGCUGGACUACAUUGUUGGCAGGUGACUACACAAUUUUGAUAGAUACUGACCACUGGAGACCAGGAACAUCCCACAAGAGCUGCAGUGUUGGAGAUGCUCUGACCCAGUCGUCACAGUUUGGCCCUCAUCAAACUCCCUCAAAUCCUUACGCUCACCCAUUUCCCCUGCUUUUGACACGUCAACUUUGAGGACAAAAUGUUAAUUUGCUGCCUAAUAAAUCCACCCACUAAUAGGUGCCAUGAUAAAGAGGUUAUUUACUUUACCUGUCAUAAUUUAUUAUGCCUGGUUGGUGUAUAAACUUU